rnacentral:miRNA from 1 species
CCAGAUCUAACUCUUCCGGCUGG